rnacentral:rRNA from 1 species
UACGUAGGGUGCGAGCGUUGUCCGGAAUUAUUGGGCGUAAAGAGCUUGUAGGUGGUUUGUCGCGUCUGCUGUGAAAAUCCGGGGCUCAACCCCGGACUUGCAGUGGGUACGGGCAGACUAGAGUGUGGUAGGGGAGACUGGAAGUUCCUGGUGUAGCGGUGGGAAUGCGCAGAUAUCAGGAGGGAACACCGGUGGGCGAAGGCGGGU